GAUGAACGCUGGCGGCGUGCCUAAUACAUGCAAGUCGAGCGAACAGACGAGGAGCUUGCUUCUCUGACGUUAGCGGCGGACGGGUGAGUAACACGUGGAUAACCUACCUAUAAGACUGGGAUAACUUCGGGAAACCGUAGCUAAUACCGGAUAAUAUAUUGAACCGCAUGGUUCAAUAGUGAAAGACGGUUUUGCUGUCACUUAUAGAUGGAUCCGCGCCGCAUUAGCUAGUUGGUAAGGUAACGGCUUACCAAGGCAACGAUGCGUAGCCGACCUGAGAGGGUGAUCGGCCACACUGGAACUGAGACACGGUCCAGACUCCUACGGGAGGCAGCAGUAGGGAAUCUUCCGCAAUGGGCGAAAGCCUGACGGAGCAACGCCGCGUGAGUGAUGAAGGUCUUCGGAUCGUAAAACUCUGUUAUUAGGGAAGAACAAAUGUGUAAGUAACUAUGCACGUCUUGACGGUACCUAAUCAGAAAGCCACGGCUAACUACGUG
rnacentral:rRNA from 1 species